CUGGGUCCGUUCCUGUGGGACAUAGUG
rnacentral:sRNA from 1 species